CCCUAUACGGGGCGCCCGUGUGGGGCCAGU
rnacentral:sRNA from 1 species